UACGUAGGGGGCUAGCGUUGUCCGGAAUCAUUGGGCGUAAAGCGCGUGUAGGCGGCCCGGUAAGUCCGCUGUGAAAGUCGGGGGCUCAACCCUCGAAUGCCGGUGGAUACUGUCGGGCUAGAGUACGGAAGAGGCGAGUGGAAUUCCUGGUGUAGCGGUGAAAUGCGCAGAUAUCAGGAAGAACACCUAUGGCGAAGGCAGCACUCUGGGACGGUACUGACGCUGAGACGCGAAAGCGUGGGGAGCGAACAGG
rnacentral:rRNA from 1 species